AUUUUAAUUUUCUUUUUUUAAAUAGAUUUUUUGUUAAAUUUAGAUAGGCUUUAAAAAUGUCUUCCUUUACUUAUAAAUACCCUACCCAUAUAAUCUAAAAUAAAAAAUAAGAAAUUAACCCAUAAUCUGCUAGAGCACUCUAUGGAAAUUCAAAAUCAAUUAGAAGACUCUUUUGUGCCAUUAGCUAAUUUUUAGUUUUAGGUUGAUUUUAGGUAUCCAAUUGACCAAGAUCCUAUCUCCAUUACUUUUUGAUAAUUUCUCAUCAUUUGAAGGUAUUAUUAAGUUGGUUUAAGGGAUCUCUAAUCCAAGAAUUGAAGACUAAUUAUGAGGUAAAUCUGAUUGGGCAAAUCUUGCUUUCUUUAUGCAUUGAAUCAUGGCGUUGUGAGUCAAUCUAUAACCUUGGUAAAUUAUUUUUUUCUUUUGUUUUUUAUUUUUAUUUCUUCUAAAUUAUUUGUUUUAAUGCAAUGUCUUAAAUUUGCGAUAGGCUUAGUUUUUAACAUGUAUAAAUUUAAUUUGGUUGAUGAGUUAACUUUCGCAUAUGUAUUGCAUAUGACAUGUUACUUUCAUUUGAUUUAUUAAUUUGAACAUGUAUUGCUGAAAUUCUUUAACAUGACAUGUUAAAUACCAUAUAGUUAAAUUUCAUGGAAUUUUAUUGGGGUUUACUAUUUUUAAAAAAUUAAUAUACAAUUGUUGGCCCAAUAUGGUUUUUAGCUAUACAAUCUUUUAUUGUCUUAUUGUACAUUAAUCCAUACAUAUUUGUGAUUGAUCUAUUUGCAUAUUUGUGAUUAGUUUAUUUUCCUAUUUUCUAAUAUGAAGUGUUGAUUAGAGUCUUGUAAAUUUUGGAACUUUUCACAGAAUUUUGAGUAUUUUUAAAUUGAGAACACAAAAUCAUAGCCCAUACAUUUUGAUUCUCAUUUUUCCUUCUCUUUUAUUGCAUUUAAUUUUUUCUUAUUUUAUUUCAUACUAACUCUGUUUAUUUUGUUGUACGUAAGUUUGAUAUUUAUCUUUUGAGUAAAUUAGAAGAUCAAAUGGAAGAAAUGGGAUUGAAGUCCCAAAAUUGAGAUCUAAUAUUUCAAAUCGGUUCCAUUAAUUUUGGGCCUUAAAUUUUUGUGGUGAUCUGUUUGCUUUAAUUCUUUUUUUUUUUUGAGCAUAAAAAUGUUAAACAAGGCAUUAAUGAAUCCAAAAAAAACUCUAAAAAUGAACAGAACUAAUUAAAAAGAGACCAAAUAUGGCUAAAAAUGGUGUGGAGCUUAAAAGCAUAAACUGAAAAUUAAAGAAAAAAUUGCUGUAUAAGAAUUCAAGGUUCAUUAUUUCUUUUAAGUUUAUUUUUCUUUGGUUUAUUUUUAUCUUUGAAUAUUAUUAUAGUAUGUAAAUUAUUUAGUAAUUAAGAUUAUGUGAAUUUAGGUUAACUUGGUUCGUUAAAAUCUUAUUUAUUUAGAUUUUUAACUUAAGAGAAUUUUGCACGUUUAGGGCUUUCUUACCUCAAUUUAUUUAGUAGUUUUAUCAUAAAGAAAUAUGAAAUAAAAUAGAAUUUAAGUUUUCUUUUUUUGUAAAUGUCUCUUUCCAUUGUGUAAUUGAAUCUUUGCAUAGAAUUAAUUUAAAAACAUGUUUAAUAAGGUAAUAAAGGUAAUUAUGUUAACAUUAAUUAAAUAUAGAAAUUUGGCAUAUUAGGAAUUACUUGUGCAUGUAUAUGGCUAAUUUGUUCGAAUUAUUUGUGCAUGUUAACUUUAGACUUGCAUAAUGUAAAAAUAAAGAACUAAAUAAAAGAACCAGACUUUCAAAAUCUUUAGUAGGGGCUAGCCCUUAUUCUAAGGUAAGUCCAGGCAGAGAAGGUGCCUAACACCUUCCCUCCCUCGCACCCACUAUCUCAAACUUAGGCCAUUUGGCUCACAAUAAAAGAAGAGUAGUGGACGAACCUCAGCAAGGGAUAAGUGGUUACCCACGUCCCUUUUAUGAUUUUGUCCGGUUAUUACCUAGAUGACGACUCAUUUCUUCCGCCUUAAUAGCGUUACUAUCUUAGAAUCGUGGUAGUGUUAUUGAAAACAUCGUGGUAGUGUUAUGUCAAGACAAUGCUAAGCCAGGUUCGAGGGUCCCACAACAAUUAUAUUUUAAUAAGAAAAUCCUUUAUCUCAAGGAAAAUAGCUAUAAUGGACAUUUAUUUGAAAAACCUGUUUGAGAAAUCCUGCUCCAAA
rnacentral:misc_RNA from 1 species